UACGUAGGCAGCGAGCGUUGUUCGGAGUUACUGGGCGUAAAGAGCUCGUAGGCGGUUUGUCGCGUCGUCCGUGAAAACUUGGGGCUCAACCCCAAGCUUGCGGGCGAUACGGGCAGACUUGAGUACUGCAGGGGAGACUGGAAUUCCUGGUGUAGCGGUGAAAUGCGCAGAUAUCAGGAGGAACACCGGUGGCGAAGGCGGGUCUCUGGGCAGUAACUGACGCUGAGGAGCGAAAGCGUGGGUAGCAAACAGG
rnacentral:rRNA from 1 species